ensembl:lncRNA
GUUUGUUGACAAGGCAUGAAGCCUUAAGCUCCUCCCACAUGGGGUGUUGUCCCGACUGAGAAAUUACUUUCACUUUCUCUUAACUCAGAACGGUGAGUGGACUUUUUAUGUCUGUAAAUCUACAUUAUAGUUGUGUAUUAAAGUUUAUUUUAAUUACGUUUAUAGCUUAGAAUAACUUGUAAUGCUGAGCCGUGCCUUUUUUUUCUUUUAUCUUAAAUGACUCGUGGUUUCUUCUCUCUUUCUCUUUAGUUUAUUGACACAGAACAUUUUUUAACCUUUUUUUUAUGAAAAAUCAUUUUAUUCCAAAUUUAAGAUAAAAUAACAGACCUCGUUCUUCAAAAGGUGGAAACAUGACGACUCUACUUGAGAAAAUAGAAAACUACGGCGCACAGGCAGCUUUUAAACUGAGAGGUGCAGGUUUUCAGACGGACUCUGAGAUUCAGACUCUGACUCCAGAAAAACUAGAAGAACUGUUUCCUGGACAAGAGAAUCUAAAUCUGAGAAAGGACAUCUUGAAAAUAAUUCAGAAUCAGGAGGAACGUAAAGGUGUCAUCGUCAUGACUUCCAUUUGUCACUUUGUCUCUUCUCUUCUAAAGAGAAUCCAAGGAUUUGUCAUCUGGAGUUUACGGCGCAUUGAUCGCAUUUUGGGUGGUUUUCCAAGCAGAUUCUUUGCACCAGUCUUCAGGACCAUUGAUCAAACUCUCUAUGGUUAUCCAAGCAAAACCUUAGGAUUUGUCUCCUCGAUUGUCAUUGAUCCUCUACUGAUGAUCCCAGGGAUUUUCAUCUGGAUUUUGCUCCCCAAUGAUAACACUUUCUAUGGUCUUCGAAAGGUAACCCUAGGAGCAGUGAUGUACAAGAGGAGGGUCUAUGGUGAAACCUUUGGAGCUCAUCUUCAGCUUUUGGACCAAAUUCAGACUUCAGGAUUAAAUUUGAUUGAAGGAAAUGAUAAAGAAAGCUGCAUCACCAUCGUUUUCUGUCCUCUUACAUCUCGGAUUGGAACAGAUGCUGAAGCAGCCAUGAGGGUGGUUCCAGGUAAUGAUCCAGUCAUUCUGGUCCUCAUGCAUUACUUCCAGGAACCCAAACACAUCCCCUCCUCACAAGUCUUACCCAGUUACAGUUACCCUAACGUUGUCUUGGAGGUCCAUGUUUUCUACCAUGAAAGACAGAACGGUUUGUUGAGAUGUGACCAAAACGAGAAAGCUGUAAAUGAGUUAAAGGAAGAACUGAUGAAGCAUCACAGACCAUGAAGCUGUUACUCUGACAAUAAAGAUCAAAGCGACUGUUGUACUAUCCUGUCAUCAAAUCUGAUGUGUUGGUAACUUUGGUAUACAGUUGUUUUUGGUAACAGACUAAAUCUGUGUAGUGGUUAAAACCUGUUUUCUUUAACUGCAGAGACAGUUUUCACUUUUCAAAAAUGGAAUAAUUCACUUUUUUGCCUCUAUUUACAUUGCAUUAAUAAAUAAGGAACUUUUUUUUUUUUUUUUGUUACAUAAUUGAAUUCAAUUUACAAAAUAUUAAGAUGUUCUAUUGUGUGCUGCAGCACUAUGUUGUUAUGGAGAGGAAAUAUUAAAAGCCCUUUUGUGUUCUUCAAGUAAUGGAUUUCUAACCUUCAUUCUCAUUAACAAUAAAAUUCAAUUUCAUAAAUAGUCUGGAUCUUUGUUUUUUAAAUGUUUUAGUUUUACUGUAAUUUUUGCAAUAACAAACUGUAAGUGUGCAAUGUGUUCCUUAUCAACAUCCUUUUUUUUUUUUUUCUUUUUUCUAACUUGUCCUGUCCAACAGCUGAGCAAGCAGAUACGGGCUGAGAGCC